GAUUCAACAGGAGGAGAUAAGGAAGCUCGAGGAAGAGAAAAAACAACUGGAAGGAGAAAUCAUAGAUUUUUAUAAAAUGAAAGCUGCCUCUGAAGCACUGCAGACUCAGCUGAGCACCGAUACAAAGAAAGACAAACAUCGUAAGAAGCAAUAGUUUCUCUUACUAUUCUGAGAGCCUUAUCAUUCUACAUCCCAUCUUCCUGUGAGUUUG
rnacentral:lncRNA from 10 species